AUUGAACGCUGGCGGCAUGCCUUACACAUGCAAGUCGAACGGCAGCACGGGAGCUUGCUCCUGGUGGCGAGUGGCGAACGGGUGAGUAAUACAUCGGAACGUGCCCAAUCGUGGGGGAUAACGUAGCGAAAGUUACGCUAAUACCGCAUACGAUCUACGGAUGAAAGCGGGGGAUCGCAAGACCUCGCGCUUCCGGAGCGGCCGAUGUCGGAUUAGCUAGUUGGCGGGGUAAAGGCCCACCAAGGCGACGAUCCGUAGCGGGUCUGAGAGGAUGAUCCGCCACACUGGGACUGAGACACGGCCCAGACUCCUACGGGAGGCAGCAGUGGGGAAUUUUGGACAAUGGGGGCAACCCUGAUCCAGCCAUGCCGCGUGAGUGAAGAAGGCCUUCGGGUUGUAAAGCUCUUUCAGACGGAAAGAAAACGCAUCGGUGAAUACCCGGUGUGGAUGACGGUACCGUAAGAAGAAGCACCGGCUAACUACGUG
rnacentral:rRNA from 1 species